rnacentral:rRNA from 1 species
CUACGGGUUGCUGCAGCUACGAAACCUCCACAAUGCACGCAAGUGUGAUGGGGGGAUUCCGAGUGCUCAGGGAAAACCUGGGCUUUUUACAAGGGCAAACACCUUGUAGAAUAAGUGGUGGGCAAGACUGGUGCCAGCCGCCGCGGUAACCCCAGCGCCACAAGUGGGAACCACGUUUAUUGGGUCUAAAGCAUCCGUAGCCGGUUUGGUAAAUGCCCUGGGAAAUCGUCCCGCUCAACGGGACGGCGUGCAGGGUAGACUGCCAGACUAGGGACCGGGAGAAGCAAACGGUAUUCCUGAGGGAGCGGUAAAAUGUGAUAAUCUCAGGAGGACCACCGAUGGCGGAGGCAGUUUGCUAUAACGGAUCCGACGGUGAGGGAUGAAAGCUAGGGGAGCGAUCCGGAUUAGAUACCCGCGUAGUC